GAGUGACAGGACGAAAAGUCCCUCUCGAAUCUUUUUGCGGUCUGGGCUUUCUGUCUCCAGCUGUGGUUAGAAAGCCCUUACCACAAAAAGCGUUUGAGGAGGACACUGGCAUCGCUGGAGAAC
rnacentral:pre_miRNA from 17 species